rnacentral:rRNA from 1 species
UACAGAGGGGGCAAGCGUUGUUCGGAAUUACUGGGCGUAAAGGGCGCGUAGGCGGCUUGGUCAGUCCCGUGUGAAAUCCCUCGGCUCAACUGAGGAACUGCACGGGAAACUGCCUGGCUUGAGUUCGGGAGAGGGAAGCGGAAUUCCGGGUGUAGCGGUGAAAUGCGUAGAUAUCCGGAGGAACACCGGUGGCGAAGGCGGCUUCCUGGACCGACACUGACGCUGAGGAGCGAAAGCUAGGGGAGCAAACGGG